rnacentral:rRNA from 1 species
UACGUAGGGUCCGAGCGUUGUCCGGAAUUACUGGGCGUAAAGCGCGCGUAGGCGGCUUUGCAAGUCGGGUGUGAAAUCCCCAGGCUCAACCUGGGAACUGCAUUCGAGACUGCAUUGCUAGAGUAUGGGAGAGGGAAGUGGAAUUUCAGGUGUAGCGGUGAAAUGCGUAGAUAUCUGAAGGAACAUCAGUGGCGAAAGCGACUUCCUGGACCAAUACUGACGCUCAUGUGCGAAAGCGUGGGGAGCAAACAGG